rnacentral:rRNA from 1 species
AUAGGCUUGAUUUGAUCCAGUAACAGCAAGACUGGUCAAAAGCUCAAAACCUGAACAAGCGCUACUGCGCCUGAUGUUCCUCAUAAACGGGUCUUUCCUCGGUUUGGUGGUCAUAGCGCUGGCUAAACACCCGAUCCCAUCCCGAACUCGGCCGUUAAGGGCCAACACGCCAAUGGUACUGCGUCUCAAGACGUGGGAGAGUAGGUCACCGCCAAAC